rnacentral:rRNA from 1 species
UACGGGGGGGGCAAGCGUUGUUCGGAAUUACUGGGCGUAAAGGGCUCGUAGGCGGCCAACUAAGUCGGAUGUGAAAUCCCCAGGCUUAACCUGGGAACUGCAUCCGAUACUGGAUGGCUUGAAUCCGGGAGAGGGAUGCAGAAUUCCAGGUGUAGCGGUGAAAUGCGUAGAUAUCAGGAGGAACACCAGUGGCGAAGGCGGCUUUCUGGACGAUUACUGACGCUGAGACGCGAAAGCGUGGGGAGCAAACAGG